GAUGAACGCUGGCGGCGUGCUUAACACAUGCAAGUCGAGCGAGAAAAGUUCUUCGGAGCUUUUCUAGCGGCGGACGGGUGAGUAACACGUGGUCAACCUGCCUCAUAGAGGGGAAUAGCCUUCCGAAAGGAAGAUUAAUACCGCAUAACAUUGUUGAAAGGCAUCUUUUAACAAUCAAAGGAGCAAUCCGCUAUGAGAUGGGCCCGCGGCGCAUUAGCUAGUUGGGGAGGUAACGGCUCACCAAGGCGACGAUGCGUAGCCGACAUGAGAGGGUGAUCGGCCACAUUGGAACUGAGACACGGUCCAGACUCCUACGGGAGGCAGCAGUGGGGAAUAUUGCACAAUGGGGGAAACCCUGAUGCAGCAACGCCGCGUGAGUGAUGAAGGUCUUCGGAUUGUAAAGCUCUGUCUUUAGGGACGAUAAUGACGGUACCUAAGGAGGAAGCCACGGCUAACUACGUGCCAGCCGCCGCUGUAAAAC
rnacentral:rRNA from 1 species